CACGGGGGGAGCAAGCGUUGUUCGGAAUCACUGGGCGUAAAGGGCGUGUAGGCGGUCAGGUAAGUGAGACGUGAAAUGCCCCGGCUUACCCGGGGACCUGCGUCUCAUACUGCUUGGCUAGAGUACGGGAGAGGGUGUGGGAAUUCCUGGUGUAGCGGUGAAAUGCGUAGAUAUCAGGAGGAACACCGGUGGCGAAGGCGCACACCUGGCCCGAUACUGACGCUGAGGCGCGAAAGCUAGGGGAGCAAACGGG
rnacentral:rRNA from 1 species